ensembl:lncRNA
GGCAGGACUCACUGACACAAACAACAAGUACAUCCCUAAACACAAUCAGGGCUUCUUUCCCCCUCUCACCAACACCAUAUUGGGAUCAGCAGGCCUCGUGUUGGCAUCAAGUGCUACGAACAUCAACUGGACUUGGAUGAGAGGCUCUCUAACACACUCCAACAGAAGGAGAGGGGUUGGAUGCAACAACAUGCUACAGUCAGCACACGCAUACACACACACACACACGCACACACACACACACGUCGGAGUCCCCCAUUUAUCACACGGCUUGACAUCCCUGUUAGCUUGUUUGUUGGCAUGUGUCAAUCCUUGCUCCCUUCUCCUUCUGUGUGUUCCACUGACAGGCCUCCCCUACGGGACCUCAGCGCCUGGCAACCAGGGGGAACAGCUGUGAGUGGUUGUCAUUCCUAGGCUGUGAGGUUGCCGUGGAAACCGCUGGGACUUGGCCGAAAGGGAGAGGGUGCUUUUUUCUUUUAUGGUGCAGCUAAGAACGUAGUCACGCAUCCGUGAUUUCAAAAGCUUGGACGAAGGGAUGGCCUUGUUAGAAUGAUGGGAGAGAUGGAGAGAGAGAGAGAGAGGGAGGGAGGGAGAGAAAGAGAGAGGUUUGGGUAAUUGCUGACAGAAGGGGAGAGUCGGCGCGGGCCACUCGGGGUUGGGGAAACAAGCGGCUCAUUCCAUUGACAGCGCAGCCGCAGCCGUUCAGGCCUGCCUUGGCUCAGAGCGGCCGGCUUAGUGUGGAGUCUCUCGCCUCGCCCUCUCCAUAUCUCUUCUUCCUCCUCCACCUCUCUCUCUCUCUCUCUCUCUUUCUCUCUCUCUCUCUCUCUCUCUCUCUCUCUGGUUAUGCCAAUUACUCCUUUCUCCUUCUGCAUACCGUGCUCUUGGGGAGUACUUUGAUUCCACAUUUAUCUCAAACUUUCUCCAAUUUUCUCUUCCUCCGGCAUGUUCCCACACUGGUUCCCCUCCCCCCACCCUUGGACCUCCUCCCAGGCUACGUUUGGCUGGAAAAACUCCUCCUGCCCCAAGUGCAGAUAAGAUACAGCAAUCGCUCCUUCUUCACGUUCUGUUUGGAUCUGUCUUUCCCGCUCUCCACCUCUCCCUGCCCAUCCCUGCCAAAAGCCAUCUGAGGCCACGGCUGCCUUGACAGGCCUGGUGUUAACACUGUGGUCUGGGCAGUGGAGCGGGUUUAGCAGCGUUCUACCCAGUGUUCUACCCAGUGUUCUACCCAGUGUUCUGUUCUUCCCAGUGUUCUGUUCUUCCCAGUGUUCUGUUCUACCCAGUGUUCUGUUCUUCCAAGUGUUCUGUUCUACCCAGUGUUCUUCCCAGUGUUCUGUUCUUCCCAGUGUUCUACCCAGUGUUCUACCCAGUGUUCUGUUCUUCCCAGUGUUCUGUUCUUCCCAGUGUUCUGUUCUACCCAGUGUUCUGUUCUACCCAGUGUUCUUCCCGGUGUUCUGUUCUUCCCAGUGUUCUACCCAGUGUUCUGUUCUACCCAGUGUUCUACCCAGUGUUCUUCCCAGUGUUCUACCCAGUGUUCUACCCAGUGUUCUACCCAGUGUUCUGUUCUACCCAGUGUUCUGUUCUUCCCAGUGUUCUACCCAGUGUUCUACCCAGUGUUCUGUUCUACCCAGUGUUCUGUUCUACCCAGUGUUCUACCCAGUGUUCUACCCAGUGUUCUACCCAGUGUUCUGUUCUACCCAGUGUUCUGUUCUUCCCAGUGUUCUACCCAGUGUUCUACCCAGUGUUCUUCCCAGCGUUCUGUUCUACCCAGUGUUCUGUUCUACCCAGUGUUCUACCCAGUGUUCUGUUCUACCCAGUGUUCUACCCAGUGUUCUGUUCUACCCAGUGUUCUAUCCAGUGUUCUACCCAGUGUUCUGUUCUACCCAGUGUUCUGUUCUACCCAGUGUUCUACCCAGUGUUCUUCCCAGCGUUCUGUUCUACCCAGUGUUCUACCCAGUGUUCUACCCAGUGUUCUGUUCUACCCAGUGUUCUACCCAGUGUUCUGUUCUACCCAGUGUUCUGUUCUACCCAGUGUUCUUCCCAGUGUUCUACCCAGUGUUCUGUUCUACCCAGUGUUCUACCCAGUGUUCUGUUCUACCCAGUGUUCUGUUCUUCCCAGUGUUCUUCCCAGUGUUCUGUUCUACCCAGUGUUCUACCCAGUGUUCUUCCCAGUGUUCUGUUCUACCCAGUGUUCUGUUCUACCCAGUGUUCUACCCAGUGUUCUGUUCUACCCAGUGUUCUGUUCUACCCAGUGUUCUACCCAGUGUUCUACCCAGUGUUCUUCCCAGUGUUCUACCCAGUGUUCUGUUCUUCCCAGUGUUCUGUUCUACCCAGUGUUCUACCCAGUGUUCUGUUCUACCCAGUGUUCUGUUCUACCCAGUGUUCUACCCAGUGUUCUUCCCAGUGUUCUUCCCAGUGUUCUGUUCUACCCAGUGUUCUACCCAGUGUUCUACCCAGUGUUCUACCCAGUGUUCUGUUCUACCCAGUGUUCUACCCAGUGUUCUAUUCUUCCCAGUGUUCUACCCAGUGUUCUACCCAGUGUUCUUCCCAGUGUUCUGUUCUACCCAGUGUUCUUCCCAGUGUUCUACCCAGUGUUCUUCCCAGUGUUCUGUUCUACCCAGUGUUCUUUCCAGUGUUCUACCCAGUGUUCUGUUCUACCCAGUGUUCUACCCAGUGUUCUGUUCUACCCAGUGUUCUUCCCAGUGUUCUACCCAGUGUUCUACCCAGUGUUCUGUUCUACCCAGUGUUCUACCCAGUGUUCUGUUCUACCCAGUGUUCUUCCCAGCGUUCUGUUCUUCCCAGUGUUCUACCCAGUGUUCUUCCCAGUGUUCUGUUCUACCCAGUGUUCUGUUCUUCCCAGUGUUCUACCCAGUGUUCUUCCCAGUGUUCUACCCAGUGUUCUGUUCUACCCAGUGUUCUUUCCAGCGUUCUACCCAGUGUUCUCCCCAGUGUUCUUCCCAGUGUUCUACCCAGUGUUCUACCCAGUGUUCUUCCCAGUGUUCUACCCAGUGUUCUGUUCUACCCAGUGUUCUUCCCAGUGUUCUACCCAGUGUUCUACCCAGUGUUCUGUUCUACCCAGUGUUCUACCCAGUGUUCUGUUCUUCCCAGUGUUCUACCCAGUGUUAUGUUCUACCCAGUGUUCUUCCCAGUGUUCUACCCAGUGUUCUACCCAGUGUUCUGUUCUACCCAGUGUUCUGUUCUACCCAGUGUUCUACCCAGUGUUCUACCCAGUGUUCUGUUCUACCCAGUGUUCUGUUCUACCCAGUGUUAUGUUCUACCCAGUGUUCUACCCAGUGUUCUGUUCUACCCAGUGUUCCACCCAGUGUUCUGUUCUACCCAGUGUUGGUUAUGUAACUGGGGAACCACUGGGACUGUUAGCCGCUCUGUGUGUGUGUGUGUGUGUGUGUUUAUAUGUGUGUGUUUAUAUGUGUGUGUCUGAGUGUGUGUCUAGGCCUGAGGGAGACCUCGGAGAUU